GGCCGGGGCGGCGCGGUCGACCCGCACCGGGUUGUCGAUCCGGUGAUGGCGGAAGCGCCGGCUUCCAAGCAGCGGUUCGAGCCGCGCCCGGCUGCCA
rnacentral:tRNA from 1 species